rnacentral:snRNA from 1 species
AUGCUCUGGUUUCUCUUCAAAUCAUACAAAUCUUUCACCUUUUACUAAAGAUUUCCAUGGAGAGAAGCAAGAACCUUAUCACACUUAUUCGAUUUGAUGUACUAAUAGCU